UACAGAGGUCUCAAGCGUUGUUCGGAUUCAUUGGGCGUAAAGGGUGCGUAGGCGGUGAGGUAAGUCUGGUGUGAAAUCCCGGAGCUCAACUCCGGAACUGCACUGGAUACUGCCUUACUUGAGCACUGGAGAGGGAACUGGAAUUUACGGUGUAGCAGUGAAAUGCGUAGAUAUCGUAAGGAAGACCAGCGGCGAAGGCGAGUUCCUGGACAGUUGCUGACGCUGAGGCACGAAGGCCAGGGGAGCAAACGGG
rnacentral:rRNA from 1 species